AACGAACGCUGGCGGCGUGCCUAAUACAUGCAAGUCGAGGGGUAACAGGGUAGCAAUACCGCUGACGACCGGCGCACGGGUGCGUAACACGUAUGCAACCUACCUAUAACUGGGGAAUAGCUCUCCGAAAGGAGAAUUAACACCGCAUAACAUCACGAGACGGCAUCGUUUUGUGAUCAAACCUCCGGGGGUUAUAGAUGGGCAUGCGUAACAUUAGCUAGUUGGUGAGGUAAUGGCUCACCAAGGCGACGAUGUUUAGGGGGUCUGAGAGGAUGAUCCCCCACACUGGUACUGAGACACGGACCAGACUCCUACGGGAGGUAGCGGUAAGGAAUAGUGGACAAUGGGGGCAACCCUGAUCCAGCCUUGCCGCGUGAAGGAUGAAGGCGCUCUGCGUCGUAAACUUCUUUUAGCCGGGAAAAAUUGUUGGGUUUCUACCUGACUUGAUUGUACCGGAAGAAUAAGGAUCGGCUAACUUCGUGCCAGCCGCCGCAGUAA
rnacentral:rRNA from 1 species